AGAGUUUGAUCAUGGCUCAGAACGAACGCUGGCGGCGUGGAUAAGACAUGCAAGUCGAGCGAGAUUUUUUCCUGUAGCAAUACAGGGAAAAGUCUAGCGGCGAACGGGUGCUUAACACGUGGGCAACCUGCCGAGAAGUGGGGGAUAGCUCGCCGAAAGGCGAAUUAAUACCGCAUGUGAUCAGAGUGGACAUCCAUUCGAAAUCAAAGUCGGGGCAACCUGACGCUUUUUGAGGGGCCCGCGGCCUAUCAGCUAGUUGGUGAGGUAACGGCCCACCAAGGCUUUGACGGGUAGCUGGUCUGAGAGGACGACCAGCCACACUGGGACUGAGACACGGCCCAGACACCUACGGGUGGCAGCAGUCGAGAAUUUUUCUCAAUGGGGGAAACCCUGAAGGAGCGACGCCGCGUGGAGGAUGAAGGUCUUCGGAUUGUAAACUCCUGUCAUUGGGGAACAAUGCGUAAAUAUUAACUGUAUUUGCGUUGAUAGUACCCGAAGAGGAAGAGACGGCUAACUCUGUGCCAGCAGCCGCGGUAAUACAGAGGUCUCAAGCGUUGUUCGGAUUCAUUGGGCGUAAAGGGUGCGUAGGCGGCGCGGUAAGUCGGGUGUGAAAUCUCGGAGCUUAACUCCGAAACUGCAUUCGAUACUGCCGUGCUUGAGGACUGGAGAGGAGACUGGAAUUUACGGUGUAGCGGUGAAAUGCGUAGAUAUCGUAAGGAAGACCAGUGGCGAAGGCGGGUCUCUGGACAGUUCCUGACGCUGAGACACGAAAGCCAGGGGAGCAAACGGGAUUAGAUACCCCGGUAGUCCUGGCAGUAAACGGUGCACGUUUGGUGUGGGAGGAUUCGACCCCUUCUGCGCCGGAGCUAACGCGUUAACGUGCCGCCUGGGGAGUACGUCGCAGAUUAAACUCAAAGAAUUGACGGGGCCCGCACAGCGUGAGUAUGUGCUCAUCGAUGCACGCGAGACUUACAGGCCUGACAUGCAUCUCUAGUUGGUGAAGCCAGCGGAGUCCGA
rnacentral:rRNA from 1 species